UUGAUCGUUCAUUGAUUUUAGAAUUAGUGUGCCUUGCGUGUUUGAUUGGACUGAAUUUCCUUGGUUUUUGACAAAUUUCUGGGUUAGUUAUGCUUCAAUUUGAGCAGAAAUCUGGUAAGAUUUUGAUGCCUACAACCUGUUAGAUGAAAUGCCCAACUGAGUGUUCUAAUUAAAAGAUAACUGGUCUGCAUUUUCGCGUGUGAAGGAACUGGAUAAGUGAGCAAGUUCAAUUUUUGCGUUUGAGAAAAUUCUGAUGAAUCGGUGUUUUGCAUCUUCUGUUCUUCUUGUUUUCUUAUCGGGAUACUCUCUGUUGGGAUUAAUAAUGAUAGACAGCCAUGCUUGAAUUAUGAUAAAGUUGAGGAUUUGGAAUUCACAUGAGUUUGGG
rnacentral:lncRNA from 1 species